AACAAUUGUGAAUCAUGGAAGCAUUGAUUCUUUUGGAUGCAAUCAUGAAUGAUAGAUAACUUAGAUGGGGGAAUAAUUUGGCAUUGGAAAGAAUUCUUUCCUGUCACUUUCAGUGGAAGGACUAUUACAGGGGUUCUAUGGAGAACACAAUCUUUGGCUGGAAAACCUGCUGGAAUGUUCUACAUACUGGGUCUCAAGGUGGUGGUCAGGAAAGAACUGCGAAAUGUAGGAAGAUAGGCCCAUAAAAAACAAAUGAUUCAACUUUGAGCAUCUUAGGAGCACUGCAUUAGCUGGUAUAAGUAAGCCGGUGUUUGUAUGAAAGAUUCCAUAGGCCCAUAAAAAAACAUCCCAUUUGUUCAAGAAGAAUGGAUGUAUUGAUGUCAACAAGUUCAGGUCUAAGAACUCUUUCACUAGGAAAGGCAUCUCAACUUUUGUUGAUGAGUAAAUCAACUGCUGUUACUCUGUUGGCAAAAACCUUAG